rnacentral:rRNA from 1 species
CGCAGCCGCGGUAAUUCCAGCUCCAAUAGCGUAUAUUAAAGUUGUUGCAGUUAAAAAGCUCGUAGUUGAAUUUCGGGAUCAAUAUAUCGGUCGUGCCUUGGUACGUACUGGUAUCAUUGGUUUCUCCUUUCUGACGAACCAUGAUGUCAUUAAUUUGGUGUUAUGGGAAGUUAGGACUGUUACUUUGAAAAAAUUAGAGUGUUUAAAGCAGGCUUUAGCUUGAAUACAUUAGCAUGGAAUAAUGAAAUAGGACGUUCGAACCUAUUUUGUUGGUUUCUAGGAUCAACGUAAUGAUUAAUAGGGAUAGUUGGGGGCAUUAGUAUUCAAUUGUCAGAGGUGAAAUUCUUGGAUUUAUUGAAGACUAACUACUGCGAAAGCAUUUGCCAAGGAUGUUUUCAUUAAUCAAGAACGAAAGUUAGGGGAUCGAAGACGAUCAGAUACCGUCGUAGUCUUAACCAUAAACUAUGCCGACUAGGGAUCGGAUGAUGUUAAUUUUUAAUGACUCAUUCGGCGCCUUACG